rnacentral:rRNA from 1 species
UACAGAGGUCCCAACCGUUGUUCGGAUUCAUUGGGCGUAAAGGGUGCGUAGGCGGUCGCGCAAGUCGGAUGUGAAAUCUCGGGGCUCAACCCCGAAACUGCAUUCGAUACUGCGUGGCUAGAGUGCUGGAGGGGAGACUGGAAUUUACGGUGUAGCAGUGAAAUGCGUAGAUAUCGUAAGGAAGACCAGUGGCGAAGGCGGGUCUCUGGACAGUUCCUGACGCUGAGGCACGAAGGCCAGGGGAGCGAACGGG